UACAGAGGGUGCGAGCGUUAAUCGGAAUUACUGGGCGUAAAGCGUGCGUAGACGGUUAUUUAAGUCGGAUGUGAAAUCCCCGGGCUCAACCUGGGAAUUGCAUUCGAUACUGGAUGGCUAGAGUUCGGCAGAGGGAAGUGGAAUUUCAGGUGUAGCGGUGAAAUGCGUAGAUAUCUGAAGGAACAUCAGUGGCGAAAGCGACUUCCUGGACCAGAACUGACGAUCAGGCACGAAAGCGUGGGGAGCAAACAGG
rnacentral:rRNA from 1 species